AUUGAACGCUGGCGAAACGCUUUACACAUGCAAGUCGAACGGCAGCACGGACUUCGGUCUGGUGGCGAGUGGCGAACGGGUGAGUAAUGUAUCGGAACGUGCCCAGUCGUGGGGGAUAACGUAGUGAAAAUUACGCUAAUACCGCAUACGAUCUAUGGAUGAAAGCGGGGGAUCGCAAGACCUCGCGCGAUUGGAGCGGCCGAUAUCAGAUUAGGUAGUCGGUGGGGUAAAGGCCCACCAAGCCAACGAUCUGUAGCUGGUCUGAGAGGACGACCAGCCACACUGGGACUGAGACACGGUCCAGACUCCUACGGGAGGCAGCAGUGGGGAAUUUUGGACAAUGGGCGAAAGCCUGAUCCAGCCAUUCCGCGUGCAGGAUGAAGGCCCUCGGGUUGUAAACUGCUUUUGUACAGAACGAAAAGGUUUCUACUAAUACUAGGAGCUCAUGACGGCACUGUAAGAAUAAGCACCGGCUAACUACGUGCCAGCCGCCGCGGUAA
rnacentral:rRNA from 1 species